AUGCGGAUUUUGGGGUGAAAAAGGCGGAUUUGGGGGGGUGGGAAGGAAAUCCUGAAGUGAAAUGUUCAAGUUGUGAGCGGAAAAGUGCGAGUUUUGGGGUGAAAAGCGCAGAUUUUGGGUCGGAGGCGGAUUUUGUGGUGGGGAGGAAAUCGUGAGGUAAAAAGUGGAGAUUUGGAGAGAAAAAAUGAGAUUUUGUGACGUAGAAUCAGAGAUUUUGAGGUAAAAAUGCAGAUUUUGAGGUGAAAAGUGCAGAUUUUGAGGUGAAAAGCGCAGAUUUUGGGUCGGAGGCACAUUUUGUGGUGGGGAGGAAAUCGUGAGGUGAAAGGUGAAGGUCUUGAGGGAAAACCGGAGAUUUUGAGGUAAAAUUUGCGGAUUUUGGCAGCCGGGAGCAAAUCGUGAGGUAAAAAGUGAAGCUUUUGAGGGGGAAAAAGCAGAUUUUGAGGUAAAAAUGCAGAUUUUGGGGUGAAAAGCGCAGAUUUUGGGUCGGAGGCAGGUUUUGUGGUGGGGAGGAAAUCGUGAGGUGAAAAGUGCAGAUUUUGAGGUGAAAAGCGCAGAUUUUGGGUCGGAGGCACAUUUUGUGGUGGGGAGGAAAUCGUGAGGUGAAAAGUGAAGAUUUUGAGGGAAACCCGGAGAUUUUGAGAUUAAAAUGCAGAUUUUGAGAUUGAAAUGCAGAUUUUGAGAUUAAAGUGCAGAUUUUGAGAAGUGAAAAAUGCAGAUUUUGGGAUCUGGGGGAGAUUUUGUAGUGGGGGAGGGAAAAGUAAAGAUUUUGAGGGGGGGAAAAAAAAAGCGGAUUUGCUGGUAAAAAUGUGGAUUUUGAGGUUAAAAUUCCAGAUUUUGAGGUAAAAAUUGCAGAUGUUGAGGUUAAAAUUGCGGAUUUUGGUGGUUGGAAGGAAGUCCUGAGGUAAAAAGUGAAGAUUUUGAGGGGGGGGGAAAAGAAAGGUUUUGAGGUAAAAAUGCAGGUUUUGGGGUGCAAAAGCUGAACUUUGCGUAAAAUAAAAGAGGGAUUUUGGUGAAAA